GACGAACGCUGGCGGCGUGCCUAAUACAUGCAAGUAGAACGCACAGUUUAUACCGUAGCUUGCUACACCAUAGACUGUGAGUUGCGAACGGGUGAGUAACGCGUAGGUAACCUGCCUGGUAGCGGGGGACAACUAUUGGAAACGCUAGCUAAUACCGCAUAAUAUUAAUUAUUGCAUGAUAAUUAAUUUAAAGGUGCAAUUGCACCACUACCAGAUGGACCUGCGUUGUAUUAGCUAGUAGGUGGGGUAACGGCCCACCUAGGCGACGAUACAUAGCCGACCUGGGAGGGUGGUCGGCCACACUGGGACUGGGACACGGCCCAGACUCCUACGGGAGGCAGCAGUAGGGAAUCUUUGGCAAUGGACGAAAGUCUGACCGAGCAACGCCGCGUGAGUGAAGAAGGUUUUCGGAUCGUAAAGGUCUGUUGUAAGAGAAGAACGGGUGUGAGAGUGGAAAGUUCACACUGUGACGGUAUCUGACCAGAAAGGGACGGCUAACUACGUG
rnacentral:rRNA from 1 species